rnacentral:tRNA from 1 species
GCUUCUAUAGCUCAGUAGGUAGAGCAACAUCAUGGUAAGGUGUAGGUCAUCAGUUCGAUUCUGAUUAGAAGCUCCA